AACGAACGCUGGCGGCAGGCUUAACACAUGCAAGUCGAACGCCCUCUUCGGAGGGAGUGGCAGACGGGUGAGUAACACGUGGGAAUCUACCUAUCUCUACGGAACAACACAUAGAAAUGUGUGCUAAUACCGUAUACGCCCUUCGGGGGAAAGAUUUAUCGGAGAUAGAUGAGCCCGCGUUUGAUUAGCUAGUUGGUGAGGUAAUGGCUCACCAAGGCGACGAUCAAUAGCUGGUCUGAGAGGAUGAUCAGCCACACUGGGACUGAGACACGGCCCAG
rnacentral:rRNA from 1 species